GACGAACGCUGGCGGCGUGCUUAACACAUGCAAGUCGAACGGAAAGGCCCUGCUCUUGUGGGGUGCUCGAUUGGCGAACGGGUGAGUAACACGUGAGUAACCUGCCCUUGUCUUUGUGAUAACUUCAGGAAACUGGGGCUAAUACCGGAUAGGAUCUCCUGCUGCAUGGUGGGGGUUGGAAAGUUUCGGCGGUUGGGGAUGGACUCGCGGCUUAUCAGCUUGUUGGUGGGGUAGUGGCUUACCAAGGCUUUGACGGGUAGCCGGCCUGAGAGGGUGGCCGGCCACAUUGGGACUGAGAUACGGCCCAGACUCCUACGGGAGGCAGCAGUGGGGAAUCUUGCACAGUGGGCGGAAGCCUGAUGCAGCAACGCCGCGUGCGGGAUGACGGCCUUCGGGUUGUAAACCGCUUUCGCCUGUGACGAAGCGUGAGUGACGGUAAUGGGUAAAGAAGCACCGGCUAACUACGUG
rnacentral:rRNA from 1 species